GAGGGUCUAUGUCGACUUGGCGGUUGUGCCCUUGAGGCGUGGCUUCCGGAGCUAACGCGUUAAGUCGACCGCCUGGGGAGUACGGCCGCAAGGUUAAAACUCAAAUGAAUUGACGGGGGCCCGCACAAGCGGUGGAGCAUGUGGUUUAAUUCGAUGCAACGCGAAGAACCUUACCUGGUCUUGACAUCCACAGAACUUUCCAGAGAUGGAUUGGUGCCUUCGGGAACUGUGAGACAGGUGCUGCAUGGCUGUCGUCAGCUCGUGUUGUGAAAUGUUGGGUUAAGCCCCGCAACGAAAA
rnacentral:rRNA from 1 species